rnacentral:piRNA from 1 species
UUGCUUACUGAAGGGGGCUUUUCCUCACCUC